rnacentral:rRNA from 1 species
GACGAACGCUGGCGGCGUGCCUAAUACAUGCAAGUAGAACGCUGAAGCUUGGUGCUUGCACCGAGCGGAUGAGUUGCGAACGGGUGAGUAACGCGUAGGUAACCUGCCUGGUAGCGGGGGAUAUCUAUUGGAAACGAUAGCUAAUACCGCAUAACAGUAGAUAUCGCAUGAUAGCUACUUGAAAGGUGCAAAUGCACCACUACCAGAUGGACCUGCGUUGUAUUAGCUAGUUGGUGAGGUAACGGCUCACCAAGGCAACGAUACAUAGCCGACCUGAGAGGGUGAUCGGCCACACUGGGACUGCGACACGGCCCAGACUCCUACGGGAGGCAGCAGUAGGGAAUCUUCGGCAAUGGACGGAAGUCUGACCGAGCAACGCCGCGUGAGUGAAGAAGGUUUUCGGAUCGUAAAGCUCUGUUGUAAGAGAAGAACGAGUGUGAGAGUGGAAAGUUCACACUGUGACGGUAUCUUACCAGAAAGGGACGGCUAACUACGUG